rnacentral:rRNA from 1 species
UACAAAGGAAGUUAGACGGGGGCCCGGCGACAAGCGGUGGGGUAGUGUGGUUAAUUCGAUGCAACGCGAGAACCUUACCUGGUCUUGACAUCCCGGAGACCCUUAGGAAACUAGGGGGUGGCUUCCAUCUGGAAGAAUCUGGAGACAGGUGCUGCAUGGCUGUCGUCAGCUCGUGUCGCGAGAUGUUGGGUUAAGUCCCGCAACGAGCGCAACCCUUGCCUUUAGUUGCCAGCAGUUCGGCUGGGCACUCUAAAGGGACUGCCGGUGUUAAACCGGAGGAAGGUGGGGAUGACGUCAAGUCCUCAUGGCCUUUAUGACCAGGGCUACACACGUACUACAAUGGCCGAUACAAAGGGCAGCGACACUGCGAGGUGAGGCCAAUCCCGUAAAAUCGGUCUCAGUCCGGAUUGGAGUCUGCAACUCGACUCCAUGAAGUUGGAAUCGCUAGUAAUCGUGGAUCAGCAUGCCACGGUGAAUACGUUCCCGGGCCUU